AGCCUGGUCACUGAGGUCAGAGGAGGCGCUGAAAGGUUUCCCUAAUAGUUCCUGGUGAAUCAAAGCAGAACCAUAAAGGUUGCUGGACUGCAUGAUGGCCUUACCCCUGAGCAGUCAUCCUGUUAAAGGACCAACCAGUUAGAAGCUGUUUUCAAAGUAGCUGAGCAGAUUUCAUCUCAACAGACAAAGCCGAUGGCAGAAGAUGUUUGGAGAAGAACUUCAGGCCGUGGACUGACAAGGUAUUUUUUUCUUGUUAUCAAAAGACAUUUGGAGUGACGGCUUCUACAACUGUGCUGAAGUAAAGCUUACAGUCUAAGAAGUCACAGUGUUGAUAUUCAGCACAAAGAGAAAAGCUCACUUGUUUGAAUUUAUUUACAAUCAUAGUUUUUAUAAAUUCUGACUGUAAAGAGAUUUUACAGCUUUGAUAUUGUUUGACACUCGAUAUCAGGUGAUGGGAUUUAAUUUAAAGGUUUCUGUGUCCCAAUGAGCCAUUUACACUGACCAGUGUUUCACUUUAACUGUAACACAUUCAUUAUUUAGAUCCAACAUUUCUAAGAGAAAUAACUGAAUG